rnacentral:lncRNA from 1 species
CUAUGCUACCAUGUAGGUGAGUACUUUUCUUUAACCUAGAUUCACUUCAUUUAUCCUUAAUAUCUGAUAUAGUUGAAGUUUUUUAAGAAUUGAUUAUGCUUUGUUUCUUUAGUAUGUUUGGGCUUUUAUUGGUAUUCAUAGUUCCAUUUCAAUUGUAUGGUUCUUGGAAGACAAUUUUCUAAGUAUUCAUAUUUGUAUAUGAAAAUCACUGGAUUGGAUGUUGUGCUGUUGAUUGCUUCUGAAUUGGGUUGGAUGACCGAACGAGAUGAGUUUCGUGGGUUAAUGUUGUAUUGAAGUGACAAUAAGUUGACUGGGAAUGUAUCUAUAUAUUUCAUGAGGCUUGUCAAAUUUAGCACUCCAAUUUUGAGUAACAAAGGUUAGAAGUUUAAAUUUUAGCUUCCACUCUUUGCUUUGGAUUAUGGAUUUCAUUAUACUUCAGCAUUGCAGUCAUGUGGAGUACUUUCUAGUUUGCUGAUGUUUUUUUCUUCUUUAUGUAUGUAAGAGCACCAUCGUGUCGUUGUUUGUUCAGUUGAGUGUUCUUGUCGGAAAUGCUGUAUAUUUGCGUUUAUCAAAUUAACUUCCAUGAUAACUUUGAUCUCUUUAUAUCGUUUUUGGUUAUUGAUGUGCAGAAGACAGUGGAUGAAGAUGCCUCAACCCCCUCCACGGUGACUGCAUCUCAACUUAGAGUUCACGUAGGGUUCUUGAAAGGGGUGAACGUUGUAUAAACAAAUUUUAUGUUAUUGGUUGCGAUGAUUUUUGUAUAAACAGGUCCAAAUUGACUUACACUUUUGCUUGCCUAGCUCGUUCAUGUCAUUGUUGUUGGUUGCAAUGAAUGUUAUAUAAACCCGGUAUGCAGGCGCACAUGGAUGAUCCUAGAUUUUUGUACAUUAUGUUUGAAUGUGUUGUAUCAGAAGUACUUGUAUGAAGUUGCCAUUUGUUGCUCUUUAUGCAUGCGCGUGUGACUAUAACUUAUGUAUUCCGGAAUUUCCACUAACUCGAGAGUAUACAGUGUAGUUCGAUUCGUCAUCUAAAAGACAG